CCUACGGGUGGCAGCAGUGAGGAAUAUUGGUCAAUGGCCGCAAGGCUGAACCAGCCAAGUCGCGUGAGGGAUGACGGUCCUAUGGAUUGUAAACCUCUUUUGUCAGGGAGCAAAGGGCGCCACGUGUGGCGCUUUGCGAGUACCUGAAGAAACAGCAUCGGCUAACUCCGUGCCAGCAGCCGCGGUAAUACGGAGGAUGCGAUCGUUAUCCGGAUUUAUUGGGUUUAAAGGGUGCGCAGGCGGAAUGUCAAGUCAGCGGUAAAAUUUCGGGGCUCAACCCCGUCGUGCCGUUGAAACUGGCGUUCUUGAGUGAGCGAGAAGUAUGUGGAAUGCGUGGUGUAGCGGUGAAAUGCAUAGAUAUCACGCAGAACUCCGAUUGUGAAGGCAGCAUACCGGCGCUCAACUGACGCUCAUGCACGAAAGCGUGGGUAUCGAACAGGAUUAGAUACCCCAGUAGUC
rnacentral:rRNA from 1 species